rnacentral:rRNA from 1 species
UUUUAUUUGAGAGUUUGAUCCUGGCUCAGGAUGAACGCUGGCGGCAUGCCUAAUACAUGCAAGUCGAACGGGAAAGU